GGAAUGAUACCCUAGAUACCCCAGCAGGGAUGACAGUGGAACAACAAUGGCAGGUGUUUCUGGGUAUAAUACAGAAGGUGCAGGAUCAGUUCAUUCCAAAGAGGAAGAAAGAUUCCAAUGGGACUAAGGGGUGACUGUGGUUGACAAGGGAAAUCAGGGACAGUAUAAAAAUAAAAGAGAAGAAGUAUAACAAAGCAAAGAUGAGCAGGAAGCCGGAAGAUUGGGAAACUUUUAAAGAGCAAUAGAAGAUAACUAAAAAGGCAAUACGGGGAGAAAAGAUGAGGUACGAAGGUAAGCAAGCCAAGAAUAUAAUGGAGAAUAGUAAAAGCGUCUUUACGUAUGUGAAGAGGAAAAGAUUAGUUAAGAUCAAAAUUAUUAAGGAAACAAGGAA